rnacentral:rRNA from 1 species
UACGUAGGUGGCAAGCGUUGUCCGGAUUUACUGGGCGUAAAGAGCGCGCAGGCGGUCGUUCAAGUCGCGUGUGAAAGCCCCCGGCUCAACUGGGGAGGGUCACGCGAUACUGAUCGACUCGAAGGCAGGAGAGGGUAGUGGAAUUCCCGGUGUAGUGGUGAAAUGCGUAGAUAUCAGGAGGAACACCGGUGGCGAAGGCGGGUCUCUGGGCCGAUAUUGACGCUGAGGAGCGAAAGCGUGGGGAGCGAACAGG